AACGAACGCUGGCGGCAGGCCUAACACAUGCAAGUCGAGCGGACCUUUCGGGGUCAGCGGCGGACGGGUGAGUAACGCGUGGGAAUAUGCCCUUCUCUACGGAAUAGUCCUGGGAAACUGGGGGUAAUACCGUAUACGCCCUUUGGGGGAAAGAUUUAUCGGGGAAGGAUUAGCCCGCGUUGGAUUAGGUAGUUGGUGGGGUAAUGGCCUACCAAGCCGACGAUCCAUAGCUGGUUUGAGAGGAUGAUCAGCCACGCUGGGACUGAGACACGGCCCAGACUCCUACGGGAGGCAGCAGUGGGGAAUCUUAGACAAUGGGGGCAACCCUGAUCUAGCCAUGCCGCGUGAGUGAUGAAGGCCUUAGGGUUGUAAAGCUCUUUCAGCUGGGAAGAUAAUGACGGUACCAGCAGAAGAAGCCCCGGCUAACUCCGUG
rnacentral:rRNA from 1 species